UGUAGGAUUUUAGUUUACAGUUUGGGUUUACGGUUUAGGAUUUGGGUUUAUAGUAUAGAGUUGGGGUUUAGGGUUUACUAUUUGGGUUUAGAGUAUAUGGUUUGAGUUUAGUAUUUAGGGGUUAGAUUUAGAUUUAGGGUUUAGAAUUUAAGAUUUAGGGUUUUGUUAGACAUCAUUCUUUUUUCAACUAUUUUAAAAUUUUAAAUACAAUUUAAUAUUUUUUAUUAAUUAUCUAGGUGGCACUUUGAUUGGUAGUAAGAGAGAUGGUGAAUUUAAAGGUUCACCGUAGGGGUGAACCUAAGUUUUAACUAGACAAAAAUAUAAGGGUUGACAAAGUUGUAUACAUAUAAGAGCAUCGUUAUCCUAGAAACCCCAUUUGGUAUACUUAAAUUUUUUUUUUUUUACUUUUUCGAAUUUAGAAAAGAAAAAAAAUUAAAAACGAACCAAUCGCGAGCCGCCACGUGUCAGUGGAGCCCGCGAACCGUGUAAGAAACCCUUAAGGACCGACUACUAUUUGGUAGUUUUGGUAACCGGUUUCUUAAAAAAAAGUGGGUCCUACGCGGGACCCACACGCUAAGAACCCCUCUAGUGUCUUUGGAUAAAGAUGCUCUAAGAUUCCCGUUUGUUUUUACAAAAAAAAAAGAAAUUCCCGUUCGUUUACGCUCAUGCAAAACAAUAAAAAGUAGGGCAUUCCUAAAUAACAUAAAAACCAUUUCCUUGGCAAAAAAAACAUAAAAACCAUUUAUAACCUUAUACUACAUGUCAAUCUGUCAUUUUCUCAAGCUGUACGUGUGCGUAUCUACACAUAGCCAGUGUUCUAAAGAUUGCGCAAGUCGGACAAGACUUCGGGUUUUCCGAUGGGAUACUAUCCGUGACUGUCACAAUCUGCGCACACUACGCCAGGAAAAAAACGCGAGACUUGUUUUGAUUUUAGGCACCACGUUUGCUGUACGUUUGUGACUAACUUGAUGUUAAGUAAAUGCUGUCGACGUUGUGUUGCUGCUGAAGAGUUAGCAGCUCAGACCCAAGACGGUGGCGAUGACAAUCAAGGCAACGAUGCACAGAGCGCAGGUCGAAGCAAUGAAGCAGCUGAUGGAGAAGAACAUGGAGUACUUGAUAAUGAUCAUGAUAUUGAUAUUGAGAGUGAUGCCGAGUCUGUCUUCUAUUCACCAGCAAGUGGUCCUAAUCGUCGUUGGUAGAAGAGCAGCUGCCGCAAGUCUAAAUAUUAUGUUUGCCUUUAUUAUUUUAGGGUUUUGUUUGUCCAACGUAACUCUAUUUUAGGAUAUGUUUUUGGAAGAACGACUGCUGAACUAUCUUUCUCUUUUUUUUCUACAGUGUUUGCUUAUGAAUUAUGCAUGGUUCGUUAAUUUACUGAAAAACGAAAUGUGCCUAUCGAGUUUUAUUAGUAUUAAAUUUACUUAUUGGGAAUCAACCAUCACAAUAUAUAAGUUACUACGGGUUACUUAUAUAUGAAAUCAUUUGAUUACUACGGGUUAAAAAAUAUCACCAGCAUCAGACCAACUUAUUGUAUUUUAUUGUUUCUUAGAUUUAAUAGUAUUGAUUUGCACAAAAAAAAAAAAGUUAGGAUAUACGUUUGAAAUGUGUUGGCAAAUGAAAAGACGAAAUAAACCUUAGAUAGCCGAAACUUGAAAGAUUUUAAGCCUUUAUUAAAAAGGAAAAAGAAAAACUUGAAGGAUUUUGUAACGUUAUUCAGAUUUCGAAAAAUCUGGGAUUCUGUUUGAGAUAUUCGAUUUUUUUUUCAAGGAAAUAAGUUUUUUUUUUAAAAAAAAAAAUAAGAAGGGUUAAACCCGGGUCUAUUAAAGACACAUACCUAAUCUCCGGGUAGAGGUACAGCCGGUAGAUAGAUCCUUUCCUAAGCAUUCAAAUGAGCCGAAAGCAAUAGCACAUAUCCGUAUGGUCAGCGGGAUUCAAACCAGAGUUCGGCGUAUUGGAUAUAUUCCCUCAAGCGCCACUGGACUACCACGAACCGUGCAAAUAAGUUAUUUUACUCUUUUGAAUUGUUCGGUAAAAUUGUGGUACCUUUAGGAUAAAAGAACAUGAUCAACAAAUGACAAAUUAGGGUUGCCUUUUACAUGUUAGAGACUGUUCAUGACAGUAACUUUGUACAUUUCAGUUUUGGUGAAAACGGAUGCCCAUCAAUCGCUAAAUGUUAAAUGACACUAACGGACAGAGAGAGAAACUACAACACGUCAUCACACCAGAUGUAACCAGGGAGAAAAUAAAUUUAAGAUCGCAAGAUUAAAUUGAAAACUGUUGGAAUCGAGUGGUUGAGAAUCAUGAACCCACGUGACUCACCCUUAAAUAUAUAGAGUAACAAACUAAUUGUAUAGAGAUAGAGAGCGCUCUUUGGUAAACCAAAAUCGUUCUUAUCCAUAUUUUUCCUCGUUUUCUCAUUCCGAACAAGAAAAUGGCGAAUCCUUCAGAUAAAGUUGUAGUUAAAUGGGUGAAUGACACACGGGCUCGAGUUUGUUGGGUCAUACUGGCUAGCCUCUGCCUAUGUGGAUUCACACAGUUGAUGGAAGUCUUCAAAGACGAGAGCCAAGUUAUCUACAAGUAUGUUGGGAUGAGUUUGGUGUCUCUCUACGUGAUUUUGCUGGUCAAGUCUCUGUGCUCUGAUGAAACUCCAACCAUAGCUUAUAGGUCUGGUUCCUGUCUACGGUCGUUUGUGCCAUUGGUGAUUUUCUUCAUCAUCUUCAUCACAAUCUACUAUCACCGAACCCUAGGAGUCUCUAUUCUCACUUUAUCCAUCCUUUUUGGUGUAGUGGCUUUAAUGCAAUUGCUUUUUCCAAUAGAUGAGUUCUGUGUGGGUUAUGUUAUGGUCAUCAUAACUUUGGGGAUCUCUAUAGCUUGCAGUGUUGUAGACUAUGAUCUUGAAGAGGUCAUGCCUUCUCGGGUUUAUUUUCUCCUAUAUUUUCUUGUGUGAGAUGAUAAUUGGUGUUAUCAACUAUCCAGGAAAUCACCGAUUCUUUAAUAGCUAUUGACAUGUAUCUUCAUCAGUUUUACUUGUGUUUUUAAUAUUCCUUUGUUUCAUCUUAAUUAUUUCAGUUUGAGUAGUUCAUCUUUAUGAAUGUAAUUUCUUUUCUUUCUGUUUCUAUAUAAGAUCAUCUUAUUGACAUUGUGAGUUUCUGCUUUGUUGCGAUUUAAUUAAUGAGUUCGUUAAAAAUAAGCUGCUGCGCCAAAGUUAAUGUUAAGCCCUCAUAAAAAUAAGUUUAUAUUGAUCGAGCUAGCAAAACCAUAUUGAUCGAACUUGUUCGAAAUUGACAUAUCAAAAUAUAGAUACUUAACAGAAUAAUAAUCAGCUAACUCCAUUCUUUCUACUUAGCGAUUUAACAUAUGCUGCUCCAACAUAAGGCACAAAUUAGAGCCAAGUCUCCCCGUUAGGAAACUGUGUAUAAUGCAUUAUUUUCUGUCACGAAACAGCAAAUAUAAGACGUCACGUAUGGUUUAAUAACCUGGUUUGCUACUAGGGAUUAGAGAUGAAGCCAAGAUGAAGUUAGAGUUCGUCUUUCAAAUUUCACUUUUUACUUAAACAAUCUAAAACUAAAAUCACACAUGUUGUAAAAAGCUUUUUUUUGAAUAAAUUUAACAUUCUUUCAAAAAAAAAAACAUAAGGCGUUUGUAAGUUGCACUAUAUUUUGAAAUCAUUUUUUCAAGCUGUAUAUCAUAUAAAGAUGCAACAAACAUCUCAGUUUCCAUGAGUAAUAGUCGCCACUAUAAAUGACAAGUACCGCUUAGUCUCUCUAGUUGCGACUCUUUAGGCGAUUUGACACAACCAUUUUUGUGAGAAGAAUGUCCAUUAUAAUUCUCUGGAUAUGUUUUACAUAACUAAUGAGAAGAAAGUGGAUACUAUAAUUACUAAUCAAAAACAAUAUCAACGGCUGAUUUUAAAGAAGAAAAAAUAAAAACAAAUCUAAUAGAAGAGUUUCGGUACAAAAUCGUUUCUGGAGAAUGCAAAUCUUCUUGAGUUUUCUUAUGUUGUAAUAUGGAGUCUAACCAAAUACACAAUUUAGAAAAAUAUCAACGAUUUUUUUUUUUUUUUUAGAAUAUGUGGAGAAAGAAAAAAUUGAAAUUGAACAAGUCCCGGGAAAUAAGCAAAAGGCGGACAUCUUGACUAAAGCGUUAGGAAUAAUCAAGUUUCGAGAAAUGAGAGACAUUCAUUGGUAUGGAAGAUUCGGAGAAAAUGGAUUUCAAAUUUAAAGGGAGAAAUGUUGAAUUAAACUUGAAGAAUAAAAAAAUUUAAGGGGUAAGUAAAAACCUAAUCCUACCAAAUUAUGGAAAUUAGGAUUUAAUAUAUUUAGGAGUUAUCUACAUGUAUUACCAAAUAGUCUCUAUAUAAAAAGAUGCCAAAAUAUGGCGAAAGAUUUGAGAGCUUUAAUUUUGAGUUAGUUUUCUAAAGUAAAGUUUUGAGUUUGAUUUCUUGAAUUCUUAACCUUUGAGUUACGUUUUGGUUUGAUACAAUAAAUCAUUCAACUAAAAUGCCAAACCGAAUUUGACAUUACUUUGCUGAAGACUGCAGUUACCCAAAAAUAAUUGAAUUCUCAAUGUUUUAUUCCAGUAUUGUAUGUAGAUUUUGCAUUAUUAUUUCCACCGAGGAGAAACAUUAUGUAUUCUCCAAAAUUGUGAAAAUAAUAAAAAAUUAUUCAAACUUAAUAUAUACUACAAAAUACAAGAACACUUUAGCUCUAAUUCGAUCUUUUAAAUUAACUAGUGUAUAUUCAUCUCUUGCUUAUUACACGUCUAAGUGUGCAAGCAAGCAGUUCUAUUACCCAUUGCUUAAGCAACAAAAAUUCACAAACUUAGCUUUGGAUAUUAUAUUAAAACUACAAAAGUAAUUUACAAAAGUUAUCAUUUGUAUGAUCCUUCACAUUGAAUAGCAAAUAUCAUUAACUACUUUCAUUACCAGAAAAAAAAAGACAAUAAACGAGCCAAAUCCUUAACAGCAAACGACCAGAGUUUGCCUGUAAGAAUAAUAGUCUUCACUUCCAUCCCAGAACAAUCAAUACCUAGUGCUAUUCCUCCUUCCCCACCACUUCCUCUUCACCUUCUCCAUCGAACCGCCACUCUCUUCACUCCCAAGUUUGCUCAGUAUCAUCUUCGUUUCCCUCAACCUCCCUCCAUAAUCCUUCUUCCACGUCUCAAACAUCUGUUUCAACCUCCUCAGCUCUCUCUCCGGGUUCAAGUUUGCUUCCACCUGACCAGACUUCACUUCCACCAAGAACUUAGCAUCAUCACCAAAAACUUGAGCUCUCUGUUCAAACUCCUCCGCCAACCGUCCAAUCACACUAAGACCAGCACUCAUAGGCUGUUGUUGUUGUCUCCCCCCUCCUCCGUUGCUUGCCUGACUCUUGAACUGAUUACUGCUUGAAUCCCAAUCCGUUGCGUCGCUUGCAUUGACCGAUGCAUCCGAGUUUCUAGCAGAGUCCUCGACCGCUAGGCUUUUCUUUGCUAUGGAGAGGCUAGAUUGCAACGACCGCAUUUGCUUCUGCCAGAUUUCUUCCAUUGAUUUCAUCUUUGUCUCGUACUCUGACCAACGGUUCUCGUACUGUUGAAGCCUCUGUUGAAGAAUGUCGUUCUCCUCUUCUUUCUCACGCAGAGCAGCUUCCGAUUUGAGUACCCUGCGUUGAAGGUCGGAAAGUACAGAUGCCUUUACUAGCACCUCGCCUGACUCAUUUGUCUGCGCAGUUGGUUAGUAACCAAAUCAAAAGCAGAACACAACAAUGAGACUUAAGAAGAUAAAUAGAUACUGUGAGAGGAUUUGAAUGUGGAUAUAAUCCUAUUAGUACCUUAGUGCCUCCAGAUUUUAACCAUCCAAUGUCCCCUGAGCAUCUUCUAACCAACCAACCACGAAUUGCUGCAAGAAGAUUACACUAACUCAGUGUCAUGAGAAGACCUACAACAUCUAAAAAGUACAACAAAAGCUUUUUACCUGAUUGUAUCACAAGAGAAGCUUCUGUUAUGCCCUUAUACUGUUUCCUAGCAAUCUUGCUUUUAACUUGGCUUUGUAUAGUAGCUGCAGCCCUAUGCCUCCUUCGUAACUCGGCAAACUCCUUUCUUACUUUAUCUCCACGAACAACUGUUGAAAAAGAGGUGGGACUAAGCCAUAUCUCAUGUUAAGCCGAAAUUAUAUCUCAUGUUAAAGCACUGAGACAAGAGAGCUAUACAUGACUGGAGAAUAGAAAUUCCCAUUUUAAGCUUCUUCAGGUGACAACGUGCUUGGUAUCCUCUAAAAGAGCUUUGUACACGUAAAAUGCCAUGGAGUGUACGGUUCCUUGUAUCUUCAAGAACCCCAAUCUGCAAUGCACAUGAGACUACUAUUCAUGCCUCUUUCUAAAAGAAAGUCUUUGACAUCAAGCCGACUAGCUAUUUAUACCUGGCCGGUUCUGAAAAACAACUUCGUGUAGCCAACUUGGUACAUCUCCGGCAAGAUAUUGAACUGAUGGAGGAUCGCAACUGAGACACUUAGAGGAUCUUUAUCAGCAAUGUUCUCCACCAGAAGGAAACCAUACCUGUUGUGUGAUCAUUUAAAGAAACAAUGUGGUUAGAAGAUAAGCAUGUAAUAACUGAUAGAUGAUGGAUGGCACCGUCACCUUCUGGCAAAUUUCUGAUGAGACACUCUUGUAGGAAAUCCAGACCGUGAGAUUCGAACAACUUCUAAGACCCCACAACAUCUUAGCUGCUGUAAGACAAGUCCUUGCUCAUACAACCCUGGAGACUGAACGUUAUUUGGCUUGAUGCAACGAAUGAAAUGUGGGGUAGUGUUCCCUAAACGUUGCAUCAAUUGGAAUAGUUGACCCUGGACAAAAAGAUCCAUGUAGAUGAUUAAUAAUCAAAAUAUUAUGGAGGAUAAGAAAGAUGCAUCAAAUGUUCAUAGUGAGAGAGGCAACAACUAGUAAUCUUCACAUCACAUCAAUGCAGGUAAUGAGCUUUAAAGUAAAGAGGCAUCAAAUGUUCAUAGUAUGAGAGGCAAAAACUGGUAAUCUUGACACAAACCACAACAAUAUCAAAGCGGUAUUCUUGACAUCACAUCUAUGCAGAUAAUGAGCUUUAAAGUAAAGCAGGUAACUAGAACUAAAGUAACACCAAGUCUGUGUUUGAGGCCAAAACAAGCUACCUUAAAUUUGGUAGCUACACUCAACCGCUGGGAAUCAGCACCACCUGCUUUGUACAAAGGACCGACUACAGGUUUUUCAGAUUGGAUCAGCAUGCUAGAAGCAAACGCUCGAGGAAGGUGGCAGGAGCAAGAGGACAAAAGCUGAAUAGAAUCCAAGUGCAACAGGUCUCUGUUCUUCUCUAGAAAUCCUGUUGUGUCAUAUGUAACCUGAUUCAGAACAAAAAAAAAAAGCAUUCACGACCGAGACUAGAUUCAUGCUUGCUAUCAAAUUUCUAUAUCUCCAAAGAAAUGCCUUUUUGUUUCAUGGAAUGCCUUGUUGAUUGGGGUCACUGAGAUUUCAAGAGCUAUUACCUCUCCUGCAUAAUGCACAACUGUGAAAAGCUUCUCUCGAUCUCCUCUGAAACAUGAAUUAGAGUGAAGAUGCUGUUUUAAGGUGAAUUUAAAGGUUCACCGUAGGGGUGAACC
rnacentral:lncRNA from 1 species